GCUAAUGGAACGGUCCGGUCCCCGGGCCAAUAAAGAACUUACCAAAUACCAAAGGGGGUGGCAAAUUGCAGAAUUCCUGAAUUCAUGGAUAUUCCAAUGGCUUGGCCUCCCCUUCCCACCUCCGGUGGCAGGGGGCCCUCCGGCA
rnacentral:rRNA from 1 species